rnacentral:lncRNA from 1 species
CGCCUCCUCCCCUCCCAGGCCGCCAGGGAUUUGCCGGGAAGAGCGGGGGCAGGGGGAGACUCCCGGGGGUGCGCAGGACCGCGGGGGGCCGAGUCCUCGGGCUCGAGAAGAUUGUGUCCACCCGCUGUCCGAGGCCCAGGCUGUCCCCUCAGGUCGUCCUCCUCAAGUCCAAGGAGGGACAUGGGAGCUCCUGAGGGCAGGGUGGGGUUCCUCGCGGGCCAGCUGUCGUCCUAGGGUCCCCGGUGCCACCUCAGUUGCGGGCUGCUUGUGAGGAAGGAGGGUAUGGGAGCAAAAAAUAGGAGGGGUCUUCCCGAGGCUCGGGGUUGAUCAGUGUCGGUUCUAGAGCCUGCGGGGAAAAGAGGGCAGGAGAACAGGAUAGUUUGUGCUUCCUUUUUUCCAUUUUAACUUUUCCUCUAACGGGCAUCCGGGCAAGAACAGGGUUCAGUAGUUUGGGAAGGGAGCUGGGGGAGGCAGUGGCGGCUGGAGUAGGUAGGCGAGUAAAAGGAGGAGGAAGGGCUGGGGAGAAGAGCGAGGCUGUAGCGGCUGCCUGUUGAG